rnacentral:lncRNA from 1 species
GGUUACUUGGAAACCAGCCAAAUAUACUAAAAAGUUGUUUCGAACUCUACUACGAAAUUACGAAUAUGGAUAUGACUCCAUUAAUGUACUGGAUCUUAAUCAAUACUGUACUAGUACUAGUAACUGAGAGCAGAUAACCUGAUACUAAUAAUUCAUCACUCUUCUUCUCAUUACUUCUCCCCAGUGUUAUGAAAAGCGCAAAUCAGCUCUAGGCGGUGAAAGGACCUUCUAGCGCUUAAGCGGUAAAGCGGACGCUUAAGCGGAAUCUUAAGCGGGCCAAUAAGCGGAUUAAUAAAAUAUAAUUAAAUAUUUAAUUUUAAUAUUAAUAUAUUCAAAAAUAAUGUUAUAUUGUGGUAAGAAUUUAAAUUUUUAAAAAUAUAUAUAUAUUAAUUUUUUAAUAUAAUUAUAGUUAUAUUAUAUAAAAAAAUAUUUUAAAACUGAAAAAUUAGCAAGUCAAAAUCAUUUUGACCGCUUAAGUACCGCUUAAUCCGCUUAACGACCGCUUAAUCCGCUUAAUAGUCCGCUUAAUUUUCAAAAACGCUUAAGAACCCGCUUAAUACAAAAUCGAGGCGUUUUAGGGCCGAUUCCGCUUAGGCGGCCGCUUAAUGCGCUUUUUAAAACACUGCUUCUCCCUGGCCUCAACUAGUGGCCAUUUGUGAACAUAUAUUAUUCAACCAUCAUUCAACAUAUAUAAUGUACCUGGUAGGCUGGUAGCUUAUAACUGCGCAUCAACUUGAGUUCAGCCUCGUAACACCCAGAGGACCCGACCCUAACAACCCAGAUUGAGAUAGCUACGUAGUAUUGUUUGGUAAUAAGUACAGGCUGCGUUGGUAUGCAUUACUACUAAGAAUGCCAAGUUACUAUUUUUCUCAUUUUUUUUCCUUUCAUACAUGGCAUGCAUAUAGCAUAUAGUUGGACGGACCCAUGCGUUUUAAUUCGCAAGUAGACGCAUAUCAAAG